UCCCGAUACGGGGAUUUGCUUACAUCAGC
rnacentral:piRNA from 1 species